rnacentral:lncRNA from 1 species
AUCAUAAACUCUAAACAAACAUCCGAUCUGGGAUAAAUCAGCCAUCAAAGUAGCUACCAAAGCUGUUCUUCACGAAGAACAGUUCGAGGUGCCUAAUUUGGACCUCUAUAACUUGAUGAUCGUGUAACGUUUAUGUGAUCUAUCAAUACCAGUGUGUAGACAACAUGUAGGAAUACAACUCUAACACUUAACAUCAUCAUAACAACAAGAAAUCAAGCAUCUAAAGUAUGGUCAAACCUUGUUAGAAAAAUUAACACUUAGAAAAUUCUGGGCUGCCCAGAAUUUUCUGGUCAAUGCCGGUCAACCCACUUUGACCUUAAAUAACUCUUAAUCCGUAAUAUAUAUGGACCUGAUUCUUUUUGGAGGUUACAUACCACAUAACAAGCUACACAUAUCAACCUUUAGAACACAAAACAAAUUACAGAUGACCGAGAUAUAAGGCCUGAUAUUUUCCAAAAAAAUAUUUUCUGGACACUUAGAAUAUUUUCUGGGUUUGAAAAACAGUCGGUCAAUGCCGGUCAACCCACUUUGACCGCUUAUAAAUCCCGAUCUACAAUAGAUAUAGACCUUAUGCUUUUUGGAGGUUAAAGACCACAUAUCAGGCUACCUAUAACAACUUUUAAACAACAAAACUCG